AGGCAUGGCCUGAAUUAACAGUUAAGGAAGAGGCAUGGCCUAGAUUAACAGUUAAGGAGAAAAGUUGUGAAACAGGCUGUACAACAGCCCUGAACUUGUAUGAAAAAAGAAAAACAGAUGAACUUGAAAAUGCAACAUUACCCGCACCGGAAAUCAACCGAUACAAUGUCACGCAUUCAUCGGUGCAUUUACUGUGGAGGACCAACCAACUUGUUUCCAACAUAACUUAUAUGAUACAGAUGAAGAUGCCAGAGAUAUCAGAAAAUUGGCAGUUAUGGAAUUCCACCGAACUCCACGAGAAGCCAGGAAUACAUUUCAUUGUGAAUGAUCUUCAUCCUUACACGACAUACCAGUUCAAAGUCAUAGCAUUCAUUAAAAUUCCUGAUCAGUUCCUCGUUUCAAAUGAAAGUGUUUCUGUCAUUACUUUACCUCAUGGCAAACCAUCAUCGGCACCAAAGAUAUCGAGUGUGGCCACACCAUCCCCUACUGUGAUUACCAUCAUCUGGAACCCACCUCUCUAUCCAAAUGGACGAAUAACUGGUUACAAGUUGAUGCUUAGUUAUGUGAAUGAACGAACCAUCACACGAGAAGUGUCUGAACACACACAUUCUUGGUCCUUCAGCCAGUUGCAACAUUCAAAGAAUUAUACCAUUAAGGUCUUAGCCUGGAAUGCAGUUGGAGGAGGGCCAGCUGAUACACAUAUCAUUACGACACCAGACCUAAUGUUGGAAGCAGAAACUGAAAAACCAUAUUUGGUGUUGGCAGCAAACAAUAUGAUUUUGAAACAGAAUUUGUUGGAUGUUUUUGGUGACCCUGUAACAUUACACCAGGAAAAUAACCGAAGCAUCACAGUUUUUGGAUCCAAGGUGUUGUAUAAAAGUAAAACAGAACUAAUGCAAGAUGUAGGGGUGCACAUAAAGAAUCACCUGGUUCUGUUUAGUGAUUCAAAUGGAAGAGUCCAUGUGGUUUUCACAAACAGUUCCAAACAAAAGGAAAAUAUUUACCCAACAGUGAAAAAUCCUAAAGCUAUCGCAGUUGAUUGGCUCCACAACAAGGCAUACUUAGCUGGAGAUCAGGAGAUUUACCAAUGUUUCCUCCCUCCACAAUACACUUGUCAUUUGGCUGUAAGCCAGCUACAAGCACGUGCCUCUGAUAUAAAGGUUGAUCCCAUAAAUGGUUUCCUGUAUUACACUCAGAGUGGACCAAACAACGGAAUCUUCCGGGUUGACUUGGGUGACAUAGAAAGCGGUAAAAAUGUUCCUCCACUUCAGAUUGUGAAGAACAAACAAGAUUCUUUCACAAUUGACUUUGAGAAUAUUCAGCUUUACUUCCCUAACAGCUCCCUCAACACGAUCAUGUCAACGUUUUUGGAUGGCAAAGGACCCUCCAACAUACGGCAGAACGUCGUGAAAGCCAACUUCAACAACAUCAAAAGUAUUGUGUUUUUUAACGGUUCCUUUAUCUGGACAGAUGGACAGAAAGUUUUGAAGGAAGUCUAUGAUCAGCAUGGAGGAAAAUACCAUUACAAUACAAUCCAUUUUAAAGAAAGUUCAUUCAGUGGAUUUAACAUGUUCCAUUCAUCUGCCCAGCCAAUGCCUGUUCCAACCAAUCCUCCCAGUAAUUUGGCGGUGUUGUUCUCUGAUACAACAGCGGACAUACGAUGGAAUAAACCAGAGAAACUUAUAUACCAAGGAAAUGGAUGCUGGAGAGGCUGGAAGUAUGAGAUGACAGUCCAAGAAGGAGAUGCCAAAAACCUAGCAACAUAUCACCUGGACGGAUUCAACCUCACACUCGAAAAUUUGAAACCAGAGACUAAAUAUACAAUUAAAAUGCGAGCUUAUAUCGACAAUAAGCAUGGCCCCUGGACCGAAAAGUUUGUUGGUCGUACAUUGUUUAAAGAUAAUGUCAAACCAAUUAUCACAUAUCAUACGAAAGCCUAUACGGCACAAGUAGGUUUAGAUGGUCGAACCCGCCGAGGUCAACUUCUUGAUGGUGGAAACGAUAGGCCGCUUCGAAUCUAUAAGCAUAAAAUAGUGAGAUUCUCCGUCAACUACCCUCAUGUUUCGGGAACCCCUUUCAAACUGGUAGGGAAAAUGAAAGCAGUAAAUCCCUUGACUAUAGCAUAUGACUGGUUAUCAAAGGUUGUUUACUGGUCUAACAGAAGAUGUGGCAUCUGCCGACUCAAUAAGAGACCAUCAAAAGUGGAGAGCAUCAAUAGUGACGUAGCAUACGACUUAUGUAUUGAUUCCUUGAAAGGGGUCUUUUACUGGAACACAAAAUAUAGUGUGCGUGCGUCACACCUAAAUGGUAUGAACAUCAAAGAAUAUUACGAAAAACCAUUCCAAGAAGAAACCAUCAUAGCCAUGACAAUUGAUAUGGAUUCAUACAUUCUUUACUGGAUCCUGCCAACAAGUACUGGAGCCAGGCUCUUUAUGGCUGGUAUGGUUGGUUAUAAGACUCAAUUUUCCAAAGGGCCACCGAAAAUAAUUGAUCUAGAGAGCAGAAUGAAUCAGCUACAAUACUUCAGCUACCGUUUUGUCUGGCUCAACAGUGAAAAACAACUUAUAGUUAGUGACCUGAGGGGCAGAAAUAGUUCCCGUCUCAUCAAUAUAGAUUCAGACAUUAUGGCUUUCUCACUCUUCCAUCCAUCACAACAUAAAUAUCCUGAUGGGCUAAAUGAGACCACAAUAACGGUAAUACCAAAUGAUAUUCCUGCAGGAUCCAUUAGAGUAGAAGGGAAUGCAUCCUAUUUCAAUAUCACAUGGAGGGAAGCAAGUGAGGUCAACCAUGGCGUUGUCCAUUACGAACUCACCCUUAAUGUACGAGAAUUUGAAAAAUACAGCAAGGCAUUGGACACAGUGCAACCCUGGUACACUAUAAAAGGAAUGCCGCCAUACACGGAAAUAGACGUUAUUGUAAAACCGUUAACCUAUUAUGGUUCAGCCAAAAGAACAUCAACAAAAAUUCGAUCACCCAUGUCAGUACCUAACGAACCACUUAAUCCAAGAGUUUACAUUAACAAGAGGAAAGAAUUACAAUCAAGUGAAGAAUUCCUGUCUGCUGAUUUACGUUGGUCAGCACCAAAUAACCGCUUUGGUGUACUUGAAAAGUACAAAGUGUUCUAUCAAACCGAUUCCAGUUCUUCUCAGUGGCAACAAACAGAUAUUGAACCUCAUACACGCCAGUUUAUUGCCGAACGACUUGGAGCUAAUCGCACUUACACUUUUAAGAUCCAGGCUUGUACUGUUUUUGCCUGUAGCAAAAUGUCUGUUAAUGUUUCUAUCACAAGUAACAACACUAACCCAUUACCUGAACUGCUGAUUGCAUCCGAAGAGGGCAUCAAAUUAGCUGAAAUGGAUAAUGACCUAAAGAUCUCCAAGAAAAUCUCUUUCAAAGGAUCCACUCGUGCAUUCACCUUUUUAGCUAAAGAUAAUUCCUACUUCUGGAUCAAUGAUGGAUCAACUUUAAUCAUGCGCAACAACAAGAUGGAAAAAAUAACGAUGAAGAAAUUUAAAAAAGAGGUCAAUGAUCUCACUGUCGACUGGAUUGACCACACUCUGUACAUCGCAGCUGGAGCAGAGAUCCAUUGUUAUAACAUUUACAUCAAAGCUCCAUGUGUUCGCCGACACGGCAAUGGAGUCAUCUACAGUGUGAAAGUCAGCCCUUUCACCAGCACCCUCUUCUGGACUGAAACCGAAGAUAUGAAGAAUUCCAGAGUCUUUAAAAGUAGAACUGAUGGAAGUGACGUUAUUGAAAUAUUGCCUGCUCAGCAUUCAAGACUCCAUAAAAGAAGCCCCGGAAAAAACUGUCAGUGUCCAACUGAUGUCAAAAUUGACAGCACUCUCGGAGUUGAUUACACUAACGAUGAUAUCUACUUUGUUGAUCUUCUGGAAAAAAGUUUGUGGCGAACCGAUAGCGAUGGGUGUCAGUGUCAGAAGCUGUUUUCUCAAACUUCGAAUGAAUUUGAGUCACUCAAUUCCCUAACUACAGACCACUCACGAGUGUAUUGGUCCAACAAAAAUAAUAAUGGUAAUAAUAACAACAUCUAUAGCGUCCGCAAGAACGAUGGGAAAGAUCUUCGUAAAAACCAAGUAUCGAAUGUUAAUAAAAUUGUUGCCUUUGGAUCCCAUCUUCAGCCCUUACCUGAUCAAAAAUGCCUGAUAUCAUUGCCAAAAGAUAACAGCAUCACUGUUGCCUCACGCACCAAUACCAGCAUCACUUUACGCCUGUCCAACAUCAAAUGGCAUCAAGACUGCAACGAUGUUUCACAUCCGACCACAAAUUACACUAUACAUUACACCGAACUGAAACCGGGUAUGGACGAUGCCUCAUGUGCAAAGAAUAUUCCUUGCCAUGCAGUUGUAAGCUUCCUGAAGGAAACCGUUAUUUAUCCUUUAAAACCCUUCACCAAAUAUUUAUUUCAAGUAGCUGUUAGUAACAUAUACACAGAUUACCGUGCAGACAUUCUCAGUUUGCCUCAGAUCGAACAAACUCUGGCUGGGGUUCCUACAUCAAUCCGAAAUCUCGAAGCCUUUACUUUGACUUAUGAAGACAUCAAAAUAAGUUGGAAACCUCCUGUGCAGCCUAAUGGCAAUGUAAACUUAUUAGUGUAUGUGGUCACAUCCACUACAACCCUGAGCACAGGAGAGAUCCAAAAGAACACCAUCAAGCUGCUUCAUAGUAAAAUUUAUAGAAGUGAGUCGAAUACCCUGGAAUAUAUUCUCAAAAACUUGAAACCAGAACAUGAAUAUAAGAUUCAGGCAAAAGCUUGCGAAAGUGAAAUAAAAUGGUGCAGCAAUACCCUGGAAGCAACAAACAAAACUGCGAAGCAUCUGUCGCCAAUCGGGUUUCACAAUAUCACAGCAACAUCUGUAUACGUUUCUUGGACAACACCUGCUGAUACACCAAUUCAUACAUUUCUGAUCAUCAAUAAGAACGUCACAAUGCGUAAAUGGAAUUCACAAAGGCUGCAAUUUAUUGUACAGCCGGAACGAAACAAAACUUUCACAAUGUUCUUUUCCAACCUUGAACCGAAUAGUUUAUAUGAAUUUGCGGUCCGAAUUAGGUACCAUAACCACAUUGAACUUAAAAAACAUUGGCCUCACUUUAAUAGCAGCCUUCUUUAUUCAAUAAGAACACUUGUUGAAUUCCCGUCUCCGCCAUCGCUACCUUACGUACACAAACUAAACUCAGGUUACGAAGAAGUUACAUGGAAACAUCCAGAUGAGAAAGUGCCGCCGAAUCUCUUCGAACUGCAAUACAAACCAGUCGGCAGUGGGAAUUGGACAACGAUCUACAAUGAUUCCGCUCCACAUUGGAUCAUUGAGGAAUACCUACAGGAUGGUGAGAACUAUAUCUUCCGAGUGAGAGCGAGAAAUUCUCGAGGCUGGAGCAAUUUCAGUAAAAGCAGCCGACCAUUUCUUCACCAAAUUGACCGAGCAACCAGUAGCAAUAUGUAUCAAUAUGCUCUCAUCCCAAUUACACUCUUCAUCAUCAUCAUCAUCGUUAUUUUAAUUUGUAUUUUGUUCAAGAAAAAACAAACAGAAAAAAAGCGAAUCACUCAUGUCAAUGAUGGUCACAAUCCUGAUGUGGAACUCGCUACUUUGCAAGAUUUACCGCAUAUAGCAGUCCAACAGAACAACACCCUUUAUUCAGUUGGUAUGGUGCCAACUGAUGCUGACCUCAUUGCAUUACCUCAUUUCCGACAUGACCAACUAAUCAGAAAGAAGUUCUUGGGAAGCGGUGCUUUUGGCGAAGUUUUUGAAGGCGUUUGCAAAAGCUGUGUUGCAAAUGGAGAAACACGUGUGGCUGUCAAGACACUGAGAAAAUGUGCCUCAGAACACGAAAAGGAGGAAUUCUUAAAAGAAGCUUUGCUCAUGAGCAAUUUUAAACACGAACAUAUUCUAAGAUUACUAGGCGUCUGUUUCGAUGGUAAUCCUCAAUUUAUUGUAUUGGAACUGAUGGAAGGCGGAGAUUUACUUCUUUAUUUGAGGAACUACCGUCCAACAUCGACAAGCCAAGUGUCUUUAACAUUAUUGGAUCUAAUGAAAAUAUGUGUGCAUGUUUCCCGGGGCUGUAAAUAUUUAGAAGAAAUGCAUUUUGUACAUAGAGACUUAGCUGCUCGUAACUGCUUAGUGUCAUCAAAGAACCCCAGGGACAUGGUGGUGAAAAUAGGAGACUUUGGUCUCGCUAGAGAUAUAUACAAAAAUGACUACUAUCGUAAAGAAGGAGAAGGCUUGCUACCUGUUCGAUGGAUGUCCCCAGAAUCAUUGGUAGAUGGAGUUUUUACUACACAGUCAGAUAUAUGGUCGUUUGGUGUUUUAAUGUGGGAGGUCAUCACAUAUGGUCAACAACCUUAUCCAGCUCGAACAAAUUUAGAAGUUUUACAGUAUGUCCGAUCAGGAGGCAGAUUGGAUCGGCCAGAUAACUGCCCGGAAUAUUUAUACCAAUUAAAACUGAACUGUUGGAGCUAUGCACCAGAAGACCGACCAACUUCAUCAUUUAUCCUGGAACAACUGGAACUUUUCUACCAAAGACUUUUUGAAGAAUCAAUGCUGAACAAAAACACUACAAACUGUGAGUCAAAAAUCCCUCUGAAGCAACACUGAUUGGGAGGCAGCCUAGAGUCACCUGCGAAUUUAACGGCACCAGUUAUACAGUGGCUACAAAUCUUUCUGGGCCAGAUAGCACAGCUGGUACAGGGAAUGAUGAAAAAUUGGGGAUACCCCCAAAUGCUGAAAGCUAUAUAAUGACUGAUACAGAUAUGGGACAUUCACAGAACAGGAUACCAAAAUCAUCAAUUGGC
rnacentral:misc_RNA from 1 species